ACACCAUACCAGUCACUGUCAUCUCCUCUCCCACUAACACGGAUCCAUCCCCACUGAAGGGUGACAGUCCAGCCACUCCACCUCCUUCCUUCCCAAACCAAGGGAGGAGCAGGCCCAGCUCUGCGCAGAGAUCACAGCACAGAGCCCACCACCUCCUAGAUCAGCCUGUGCUGUACCUCGGACAACUGACACUGCAAUCCCAGAUGCAGCCAGGCCAGCUCUAACACUCCCAGCCGUGUGGCUGGCCAGCACCUUUUUUGAGAUCCAGUCCAGUUCCAGCCUGGUCUAGUUCCUUUGCAUGUGGCCCCACAAGCAAAGACAUGACCUACGAUGUCUUUAUGCAAUUAAAAUGUAUGUCACACCAACUGCCUGGACACCAGAGGGAGAGCACGAAUGGUCCCAUGAACAGUGACAUGGGGAAAAAAAAUCCAAGGUACUAAUCCACAAUUAUUGUUGCUUUGGGGAUCAGCUCUGUCCUGAGCUCGAUAGCAGUCUCACACCUUCUGUUCAGGAAAGGCAGGCAAGAGUUAUUAACAUGCAGGACGGGGCAGGAGGCUUGAUGUGAAGGGGAGAACAACACAGACUGCAACAAGGAGCUCAGCCAGUCAGCUGCAUAGCCUCAUGGCAAGGCGCACAGCAGCGCCGGGGGCAGGGGCAUGAGUAAAAAGGCUCAGAUCUUUGCAUCUUACUAUUUCAAAGUCCCCCAAGUCAGCUCUGAUCAUAUUUAUCAGCAAGUUAAUUUAAUGGCAGAGUGCAGGAGAGUGGAGAAGGGGUGUCCACCCAAUUAAUUCAGGGUGCUGAGCUUUGAGAACGACCACCUCCUUCACCAGUUGCCACCAUCUGCAAGUGAUGGUGUGUCUGCUUCCUCCUGUGCUGGAAACCCUCACAAACAUACACCUGGCCAGAGGUACUUCAGUGUGUGUCACCUGGCUCCUCCUCUGCCAGUAAACUGAAUACAGUACCCCGUGCCUUCUCUGGAAGAGGGGCUUAAAAAUCAAGGUAAGUAAUGCAAUGUAAUGAGAGCUUUGGUUAGUAAGCUGCCAGCCCACCACUGUUACCCACAUCAUUGCACUCCCCAUCCUCUCCACCAGAAGUACUCCUUCUGCUCACUUUGCAGCUGCUCUCACUGGUACGCUCUCUGCCCACGCUGUCAUCUUUUCAUGAGAAAUAACCCAAGGAUACUCAGCCCAGCUCUGCCAAUGCUCUUACUUUCUGCUGACUAAAAAUCUCCAGAUUCCACACAAUACUUUAAAAGUUGCAGCUGUUUUUACUGCUCUUAAAUCAAAACCAAAGUUUGGCUCCCCUGCUGAAGAGCAAUAAUUUGCUAAUAAACCACAUGCCCUAGAACUGCA